GAUGAAGAACGCAGCAAAAUGCGAUAAGUAAUGUGAAUUGCAGAAUUCAGUGAAUCAUCGAGUCUUUGAACGCACAUUGCGCCCCCUGGUAUUCCGGGGGGCAUGCCUGUCCGAGCGUCAUUGCUGCCCUCAAGCACGGCUUGUGUGUUGGGCCUCCGUCCUCCUCCCGGGGGACGGGCCCGAAAGGCAGCGGCGGCACCGCGUCCGGUCCUCGAGCGUAUGGGGCUUCGUCACCCGCUCUUGUAGGCCCGGCCGGCGCUUGCCGACACAUCAAUCUUUUUUCCAGGUUGACCUCGGAUCAGGUAGGGAUACCCGCUGAACUUAAGCAUAUCAAUAGCGGAGGA
rnacentral:misc_RNA from 1 species